AGUGAACGCUGGCGGUGGGCCUAACACAUGCAAGUCGAACGGCAGCACAGUAAGAUCGUGCUCUUACGGGUGGCGAGUGGCGGGCGGGUGAGGAAUACAUCAGAAUCUACUUUUUCGGGGGGGAUUUCGUAGGGCAGCUUACACUAAUACCUCAUAUGACCAACGGGUGGAAGCAGUGGAGCUUCGCACCUUUCGCGAUUCUAUUAGACGAUUCCGGAUUAGCUAGUUGGCUUGGUAACGGCACACCAAGGCGACGAUGCGUAGCUGGUCUGAGAGGAUGAUCAGCCACACUGGAACUGAGACACGGUCCAGACUCCUACGGGAGGCAGCAGUGGGGAAUAUUCGACAAUGGGCGCAAGCCUGAUCCAGCCAUACCGCGUGGGUGAAGAAGGCCUUCGGGUUGUAAAGCCCUUUUGUUGGGAAAGAAAAGCAGUGUGUUAAAACCCCGCUGUUCUGACGGUACCCAAACAAUAAGCACCGGCUAACUUCGUG
rnacentral:rRNA from 1 species